UACGUAGGGGGCUAGCGUUGUCCGGAUUUAUUGGGCGUAAAGGGCGCGUAGGCGGCUUGGCAAGUGGAUGGUGAAAUCCCUCGGCUUAACCGAGGAACUGCCGUCCAAACUGCUUAGCUUGAGACCGGGAGAGGUGAGUGGAAUUCCGAGUGUAGAGGUGAAAUUCGUAGAUAUUCGGAAGAACACCAGUGGCGAAGGCGGCUCACUGGCCCGUUACCGGACGCUCAGGCGCGACAGCGUGGGGGAGCAAAC
rnacentral:rRNA from 1 species